rnacentral:lncRNA from 1 species
CCUAAUCUCCCUAUUCAAGCUUAAUCGAAGCCAAAUUAGCUAGGGUUGUCACAUCGGCCUUGACACACUCAGCCUUGUUGGAGAUUACCCUUCCACCUUGAUCAAGGGCGUCGGGGGCGGUAGCAUAGUGAGCCCACAUGUAGGCUGACUUGAGAGUUCUGCCGAACUGCUCCAUGCCAGGGAACUUUUCCUUGAUCAAAAGACCAAGGACACCGUUCACAUGGCAUGUGUGAUCACCCCCACCGACCUUCCUUCAACCCCUACCCAAGUGAUUAAGAUAAAUUAUUAGUUUCUAUUGUAAUUUUGAACAUAUCAAACGAAAAAUUAGUGAUAACAUCUAAAGUUACUUACCGAUCUCCAUCGGGUCGAAUCAGCGGGCGUCUUUCAGGAGGUAUUGGUCACCUCGGGAGGGUUGAGGGACCUCGCAACCACACACGUGACGAG